CUGCUCGAAGAUUUUUCUCGUACAUCAUUAAUCGGCUUGGAGGUGGAUCAUGAACUUGAGCACUAGAAUCAGAAAGUUCAAGGUGGAACUUGUCCGGAAUGGAGUAUUAAGCUCGGAGCAACUCUAGAUCACUCAAAGUCAACUCGGAUUGAAUCUCUCUGGGUCUAGCCUAAGGAUUGGUUUUGAACCUAAGAUUUUUUAGAUCCUUCAUUUUCUUUCACAUGGGACUCUCACUCACAG
rnacentral:lncRNA from 1 species